GCACGACGAGUGCGUCGCAUGCGCAAAGUGGGGAAGUGCGUCAUCAAUUGGUGGUAGAAGAAUGGUGUGUUCCCUAGCAACCAAUCAAAAGACGUAGAUACAAAGCGGUAAACUUGAAAUUUAAAUUGAAGAAAACUCAGCGAAUUUUAUCUGUGUUUUGGAAUUCGUUGGGAAUUCACGUUUUAAAUGUUAUUAUUGUUAUUUUUUACGUGUUAGUGAAUUGGUCACAUGUCAAAACUCACAUAACCUCUAAUUUAUAAACUUUGGUAAUCAAUGGAAAAGUAGAAAAAUCGUAUGAUUUUGCGCAGUUGCCACAAUUCUCUUCAUUCAACGAAUAUUCUACACUUCAGCUACUGAUUUUUUGAGUGCAAAAAAUGAUUCUCACGUUGUAGUCACUGGUGCAAAGUGCAUGCAUGUCAGACAGAUCGGCGGAUAUGCGAAAUAAAUCGCCAACGGAGAGAAACGCAUCGAUUAAUUGCAAUUAAUACUCUGGUUAUCAACCGAAUGCGCCGCGCCGCCACAGUUCAACGGUUAAUUAAGUUAUUUCACUAAUUAUCGGCGUGUUUUUUCAAGAUGCGCGUUUGUUUCAUGUUGCGCCCGUUCGGACCAUGUUUACUAUAUGAUUUUACUACAUGAGUCAUGUUCAAAUAAUCUUUUGUUAAGGUUUAAACCAAAUUCACACAAAAAUUCGAUGUAAAACAAGUAAAACUUGUUAAAUUAAGUGUUAAUUAUCAUUAAUAUCAAAUAAUUCUUUAGCAAUUACUAAUUUUAGACAAGUUUUGGUUUAUUUCUAUCAAAGUUUAGAAAUAGAAUUAGAAAUUCGUCAUUUAUUGUUGAUCCGUCCGAAUUCCAGACGGACAUAAAUCAAAACUUCAAUAAUUGCUGCUAAUUUUAUUACUUAUUACCAAAAUAACUAAUUGACAAUGAGAAAUGAUAGUUAUUUAUGUCUAUUUACUCUAAAAACACAAAAAACAAUAAUGUUUCAUCAAAAAACUUAAAAAAAUCAAAAUUUUUCUAAAAAUAACAAAUUUACAUAUCAAAAUCACUCUGAUUACAUGCACUGAAUUUAUUUAAUUUUAUUUAUUUCACUUAUCAACAUCCGAUUUCGUUAGUUUCCACUAGCUCCAUAAUCAGCACAAUACACAACGCAAAUUGCUCUUGAAAAAAUCAAUCAUGCAUGCGGGGCUGAUAACACCAACGAAAGUUGCCAAUAACGUCACAGCAAUAUUAAACAAUCGUCGUUUCUACAUCUGCCGGCCUUAACCAAGCAUAUUUAUUGUAUAAUAAUAAACAUUUUUAAACAUGAACAGCGUCGUUGCCUAAAUUUUAUUGCUCGGGUCACUGAAUGUUAAUACAAAGCAGAAAGAUACAUGGAAAAAUAGUGUGGCUUAUCGAAAAAGGUUGGCAUAUUGUGCGCGAACGCAAAUCAUAAUAAUAAUUAUAAUAAAUGUAAAUAUUUAUAUGGAAUAUUCGGUUUAACGCAUCUU